AGCAUAAUUGCUGGAUCAUAUGGUAAGAAUGUGUUUAGUUCGUAAGAAAUUGCCAAACUGUCUUCCAAAGUGACUGUACUAUUUUGCAUUUCUACCAGCAAU
rnacentral:pre_miRNA from 1 species